GACGAACGCUGGCGGCGUGCUUAAUACAUGCAAGUCGAACGGAAAGGCCCUGCUUUUGUGGCGUGCUCGAGUGGCGAACGGGUGAGUAACACGCGAGUAACCUGUCCCUGACUUUGGGAUAACACCAGGAAACAGGGGCUAUUAUCGGAUAUGAGCUCUUGCUGCACGGUGGGGGUUGGUAAGAUUCGGCGGUUGGGGAUGGACUCGCGGCUCAUCAGCUUGUUGGUGGGGUAGUGGCUUACCAAGGCUUCGACGGGUAGCCGGCCUGCGAGGGUGACCGGCCACAUUGGGACUGAGAUACGGCCCAGACUCCUACGGGAGGCAGCAGUGGGGAAUAUUGCACAAUGGGCGGAAGCCUGAUACAGCAACGCCGCGUGCGGAAUGACGGCCUUCGGGUUGUAAACCGCUUUCGCCUGUGACGAAGCGUGAGUGACGGUAAUGAGUAAGAAAGCACCGGCUAACUACGUG
rnacentral:rRNA from 1 species